GACCAGCGGAGGGAUCAUUACCGAGUUUACAACUCCCAAACCCAAUGUGAACGUUACCAAACUGUUGCCUCGGCGGGAUCUCUGCCCCGGGUGCGUCGCAGCCCCGGACCAAGGCGCCCGCCGGAGGACCAACCAAAACUCUUAUUGUAUACCCCCUCGCGGGUUUUUUACUAUCUGAGCCAUCUCGGCGCCCCUCGUGGGCGUUUCGAAAAUGAAUCAAAACUUUCAACAACGGAUCUCUUGGUUCUGGCAUCGAUGAAGAACGCAGCGAAAUGCGAUAAGUAAUGUGAAUUGCAGAAUUCAGUGAAUCAUCGAAUCUUUGAACGCACAUUGCGCCCGCCAGUAUUCUGGCGGGCAUGCCUGUCCGAGCGUCAUUUCAACCCUACCCUCGAACCCCUCCGGGGGGCGUUGGGGAUCGGCCCUUUACGGGGCCGGCCCCGAAAUACAGUGGCGGUCUCGCCGCAGCCUCUCCUGCGCAGUAGUUUGCACACUCGCAUCGGGAGCGCGGCGCGUCCACAGCCGUUAAACACCCCAAACUUCUGAAAUGUUGACCUCGGAUCAGGUAGGAAUACCCGCUGAACUUAAGCAUAUCAAUAAAGCGGAGGAA
rnacentral:rRNA from 1 species